GAUGAACUUUGGCGGCGUGCCUAAUACAUGCAAGUCGAGCGAACAGACGAGGAGCUUGCUCCUUUGGCGUUAGCGGCGGACGGGUGAGUAACACGUGGGUAACCUACCUAUAAGACUGGGAUAACUUCGGGAAACCGGAGCUAAUACCGGAUAAUAUUUCGAACCGCAUGGUUCGAUAGUGAAAGAUGGCCCUGCUAUCACUUAUAGAUGGACCUGCGCCGUAUUAGCUAGUUGGUAAGGUAACGGCUUACCAAGGCAACGAUACGUAGCCGACCUGAGAGGGUGAUCGGCCACACUGGAACUGAGACACGGUCCAGACUCCUACGGGAGGCAGCAGUAGGGAAUCUUCCGCAAUGGGCGAAAGCCUGACGGAGCAACGCCGCGUGAGUGAUGAAGGUCUUCGGAUCGUAAAACUCUGUUAUUAGGGAAGAACAAACGUGUAAGUAACUGUGCACGUCUUGACGGUACCUAAUCAGAAAGCCACGGCUAACUACGUGCCAGCAGCCGCGGUAAUACGUAGGUGGCAAGCGUUAUCCGGAAUUAUUGGGCGUAAAGCGCGCGUAGGCGGUUUUUUAAGUCUGAUGUGAAAGCCCACGGCUCAACCGUGGAGGGUCAUUGGAAACUGGAAAACUUGAGUGCAGAAGAGGAAAGUGGAAUUCCAUGUGUAGCGGUGAAAUGCGCAGAGAUAUGGAGGAACACCAGUGGCGAAGGCGACUUUCUGGUCUGUAACUGACGCUGAUGUGCGAAAGCGUGGGGAUCAAACAGGAUUAGAUACCCUGGUAGUCCACGCCGUAAACGAUGAGUGCUAAGUGUUAGGGGGUUUCCGCCCCUUAGUGCUGCAGCUAACGCAUUAAGCACUCCGCCUGGGGAGUACGACCGCAAGGUUGAAACUCAAAGGAAUUGACGGGGACCCGCACAAGCGGUGGAGCAUGUGGUUUAAUUCGAAGCAACGCGAAGAACCUUACCAAAUCUUGACAUCCUUUGACCCUUCUAGAGAUAGAAGUUUCCCCUUCGGGGGACAAAGUGACAGGUGGUGCAUGGUUGUCGUCAGCUCGUGUCGUGAGAUGUUGGGUUAAGUCCCGCAACGAGCGCAACCCUUAAGCUUAGUUGCCAUCAUUAAGUUGGGCACUCUAAGUUGACUGCCGGUGACAAACCGGAGGAAGGUGGGGAUGACGUCAAAUCAUCAUGCCCCUUAUGAUUUGGGCUACACACGUGCUACAAUGGACAAUACAAAGGGCAGCGAAACCGCGAGGUCAAGCAAAUCCCAUAAAGUUGUUCUCAGUUCGGAUUGUAGUCUGCAACUCGACUACAUGAAGCUGGAAUCGCUAGUAAUCGUAGAUCAGCAUGCUACGGUGAAUACGUUCCCGGGUCU
rnacentral:rRNA from 1 species